rnacentral:rRNA from 1 species
UGGAAACUNUCUGACUUGAGUGCAGAAGGGGAGAGUGGAAUUCCAUGUGUAGCGGUGAAAUGCGUAGAUAUAUGGAGGANCACCAGUGGCGAAAGCGGCUCUCUGGUCUGACACUGACGCUGAGGCUCGAAAGCGUGGGUAGCGAACAGGAUUAGAUACCCUGGUAGUNCACGCCGUAAACGAUGAGUGCUAGGUGUUAGGCCCUUUCCGGGGCUUAGUGCCGGAGCUAACGCAAUAAGCACUCCGCCUGGGGAGUACGACCGCAAGGUUGAAACUCAAAGGAAUUGACGGGGGCCCGCACAAGCGGUGGAGCAUGUGGUUUAAUUCGAAGCAACGCGAAGAACCUUACCAGGUCUUGACAUCCCGAUGCUAUUCUUAGAGAUAGGAAGUUACUUCGGUACAUCGGAGACAGGUGGUGCAUGGUUGUCGUCAGCUCGUGUCGUGAGAUGUUGGGUUAAGUCCCGCAACGAGCGCAACCCUUAUUGUUAGUUGCCAUCAUUAAGUUGGGCACUCUAGCGAGACUGCCGGUAAUAAACCGGAGGAAGGUGGGGAUGACGUCAAAUCAUCAUGCCCCUUGUGACCUGGGCUACACACGUGCUACAAUGGUCGGUACAACGAGUUGCGAGCCGGUGACGGCAAGCUAAUCUCUGAAAGCCGAUCUCAGUUCGGAUUGGAGGCUGCAACUCGCCUCCAUGAAGUCGGAAUCGCUAGUAAUCGCGGAUCAGCACGCCGCGGUGAAUACGUUCCCGGGCCUUGUACACACCGCCCGUCACACCACGAGAGUUUGUAACACCCGAAGUCGGUGAGGUAACCUUUUAGGGGCCAGCCGC